rnacentral:rRNA from 1 species
GAAAUGACGCUCCGCGCAUCCAGACACCCUUUGUGAACUUAUACCUAUACUGUUGCCUCGGCGUCAGGCUGGUCCCCUCCUGGGGGCCCCUCACCUCGGUGAGGAGCAGGCCCGCCGGCGGCCAAGUUAACUCUUGUUUUUACACUGAAACUCUGAGAAAAAAACAAAAAUGAAUCAAAACUUUCAACAACGGAUCUCUUGGUUCUGGCAUCGAUGAAGAACGCAGCGAAAUGCGAUAAGUAAUGUGAAUUGCAGAAUUCAGUGAAUCAUCGAAUCUUUGAACGCACAUUGCGCCCUCUGGUAUUCCGGAGGGCAUGCCUGUUCGAGCGUCAUUUCAACCCUCAAGCCUGGCUUGGUGAUGGGGCACUGCCUUUGAGACACAAGGCAGGCCCUGAAAUUCAGUGGCGAGCUCGCCAGGACCCCGAGCGCAGUAGUUAAACCCUCGCUCUGGAAGGUCUUGGUGCGGCCCUGCCGUUAAACCCCCAACUUCUGAAAAUUUGACCUCGGAUCAGGUAGGAAUACCCGCUGAACUUAAGCAUAUCAAUAAGCGGAGGAA